CUGUGAAUUUGGGUUAUGGCAAGUUCUAUCAAAGUCUAACAUGUAUGUUGUUGCUGUCUUCUCGUGUGUUGCUUAUCUAGUCAGCUAACUGUAAAUCUGACAUUGUUUUUUUUAAUACAGGCUGGAGCAUCCCAGCUACCAAAACGCAAGGAGGUUGCUUCUCAAACUGACACGUCACUGCAGGCUGUGGACACACGGCUACCUUAUAGACGAGUUGUUGCUCACCUCAGGAGCAAAAUGUUAUGGUGCAGAUUAUGUGGAAAGGCUGAUGGAGACCAUCUCAAGUCCUGCUCGACCCAGGUCGUUAUAUGGAGGACCUUAUUAACAUCCCUGUCCCACCGGCCCUCUGAGCAGAAUUUGAGCAACCUGACAGAAAGGAGGUUAUUCAUGCCAUUCCAAAUUUAUCAAAAAAAGCACUCCAAACACCAUUACAUUACACUUAUCUAACUACCUCUAUAUAAUGUUUACAUUUGUGAAGGUUGUCAGAUACAUAGGAAAUACUGGACAUUCAUUAAUCUACUAUUCUAUUCUCUAUACCUUCUAGAGUGGUGUCAAGCAAAACAGUUGCAUCCUCCAUCUGUACAGCAGCUGCACUGCUUCCGAUGUCUUCCAAAACGUGAUGAAGACAACAAAGAUCCUCACAUCUCCCCAGCCAACUGCCCAUGACUGUACCUGUUCCACUCCAGAAACUAUGUUUUCAACAUAACUAUGAAUCCUACCCAUUCAUUUUGUGGUCUGCACAUGAACUGCUAAGGUAACUUAUCCAGCAUUAUAAUGCUGGUGCAUUGGUAAAAAAAGUUGGCUUUGACUAUUGCUGUUUCACUGAACUAUUUUUUAUAAGGGAAAACAGACAAAUGUUUUAUAAUAUUUCAACUUUUAUUGAGGUAUUGCCACAAAAACAAUAAUUUAGGUAUUUCACAGGUGGUCUAAGUUCAACAUAGGUGCCUUGUCCCUCAGGAAACACUGCCCUGAUCCAGACCAGGGAAGAUGGAAUGACAACUUGGACUCUUCACCCUAGAAGUCCCCAGCACCAGCUAACAAGACUUCUUUAGGCUAGAUACGUGCAACAACUUGACAUACACACAGACAUAGUACUGGCAAAUUUAUGAAGAAAAAAACAAUAACUACAUUUCUAUUAGUUAUAUAUUAUUUAUAUAGUUAUAUAUAGCACUUAAUAUAUCAUACACCUUACUAAAAGCAAUUAAAAAAUAUUAGGUCAAUAUGUAUUUAGAACAAAAACUAUGUUUGUAAAUCAGAGUUCCCAGGUACAUUAUGAUUAAUAUGUAAAUAGUGAAAUGUUCUAAAAUUGUUUAUGAAUUUCUGAGAUACUGAUUUAUUCAAUGCAUGUGUAAUUGUCUGAUAUACUUUAUAUUAAAUGUGUUCUGUAAUAAAUACACAUUCAAUCAUACUGGCUCCA
rnacentral:lncRNA from 1 species